CAAUUCGAGAUGAGGUUUCUCAAUCGUGCGUUCAUACCCAGCAUCAAACGUUCACCCUUCACCUUUAUUCUUCCAUUGUUAACCCUUAUUCUUCAAUAAAAAACUCACGAUCAUCCUUCUUCUUCUUCUUCUUCCAUUAUUAACCCUAAAACCUCUAUUUAUCUCUCAAAUCCAUUAUUAACCCUAAAACCUCUAUUUAUCUCUCAAAACAAGAAUAGUGAUUCAAGAACAAAACCCACAAAAUCUCAAUCUCUCUCAGCUUCACCUCAUUCGCUAUUUCUCUAUCUAUCAUGAGCUACUUCUCCAAAUUCAUUCGUUCGCCAAUUCGAUUCAACACAUCAAAUUCAGUUCCAGUAAAAAUCUCUCUAUCUUUGACUUUCUUUCACCUCUUAUGAAACUCACUUAACACUGUUUACCUCAAUUGUUCUUCAACUUCAAUCAAUAUUACUUAGAUCUAAUCUAAGUUGUGAUGGUUCUGUUAUAAUAGUUAUAUUUAUGUUCAGAAUUUUGAUUGUGAAAUUUUGACUAGCUAUAGUGAAACUGAUUUUCUUAAAACAGGUGAAAUUUGAGACGGGUUCUUAUUCUAGUACCAAAAUUUGUAAUCUUCAACCUUUAUUCGAAGGAAAAUCUAGUCAUUAUUCUAGAGCAACUUCUGUAACAUCUUGUGAUAUGUUAUCCGAAGAAAAGCCUAAAGAUAAUUCUGUUUAUAAUGUGUUGGUUGAUUCAUUUGGAAGGAUUCACACUUAUUUGAGAAUAUCAUUAACAAAGAGAUAUCAUUUAAGGUGUAAGUAUUGUAUGCCAGGUGAUGUUGUGGAGAUUACUCCUACCUCUCAGGUUUUAGCGAAGGACGAGAUUCUGCAAUUGGCGGAUCUGUUUGUGAAUUCUGGUGUGAAUAAAAUAAGGUCGACGAGUGCCGAGCCGACUAUCUGAAAGGAUAUUAUAUAUAUAUAUAUAUAUAUAUAUAUAUAUAUAUAUAUAUAUAUAUAUAUAUAUAUAUUUUGAAUUGUCGAGUUUGAAGGGAUUGGAGAUAUUGUCCAUGACUACAAAUGGUAAUGUUCUUGCUAGAAAACUUUAAAAUCUCAAAGAGUGUGGACUUACUUCGUUGAACAUUAGUGUAGAUACGCUUGUACCGACAGAGUGAGUUUAUGACGAGACGGAAAGGACAUAACAAAGUAAUGAAUUCAAUUAAUUCCGUCGUAGAUCUUGGUUUUAUUACGGUUACGGUAUAUGUUUGGUCCUCUCUCUUUACGUUUUGCAGGUUUUUAUAGCUUUGGUCACCAUAGUAUUGUUAAAUAGCAGCGCCAUAGUGCAGGGGAAUUUGAAUAAAUCACAAUUGUUUUGGAUACUAUAUUUUAGUACAAAAUGUUUUGAAAUACCACCUAUAGUGAAGCGGAAUCUGAACAAAUCACUAUUGUUCUGCAAAAUGUUGCUAUAAAAUAGUAGCUAUAGCAGUAUUACAUGUUGAAAUCUGAAUUGACUGUUAUGUUAUUUAUUGCGAUAUGCGAUAGACAACAUUGGACUCACCUCCCUAUCAGGAUCUUUCCUAUUGACUAACUCAUAAAUGCAUUCACAUAUUGCUGAUUGAUACAUUUGAAUGUGUCUUGUAUGUUUCUGUUGCAUUCUAGAUCAAUUAUGUUGUAAUGUGUGGAUUCAACGACGAUGAAAUCUGUGACUUUGUUUAGCUGACGCGCGAAAAGCCAAUUAAUGUUCGAUUCAUUGAGUUCAUGCCUUUUGAUGGAAAUGUUUGGACUGUCAAGAAACUUGCACCUUACAUAUAAAUGCUGGAUACAGUGGUAAGUACAGAUAGAGGCCCCGGUAUCAAGAGUUUGUGACCUCGACACUUAUUCUCCAUUCGCUUUUGAACCCUUCUUCAUGCCAACCAAGAAUAAGAUAUUGGAUGCAAUUAAAUCAAUUGUUAACUACUAAUAUGCCUGAUCCCUUUUUUCUGGACACCUAUAUGAUCUUGAUGCCCAUCAUCAUAAUGAUCAUGCUUGCAUUAAGUGAUGCACUGGUGUGAUGCUUUAGAUUUAGGAGGAAACUCAUUCAUUGAGAAUAUAUAUAUAUAUAUAUAUAUAUAUAUAUAUAUAUAUAUAUAUAUAUAUAUAUAUAUAUAUAUAUAUAUAUAUAUAUAUAUAUAUAUAUAUAUAUAAUUGUAGAUUCAUUUCUUGAAAUUUUAAAUUUUUUGUGCGUGUGUCUGAUGUGUUGUACUUUAUGAGGAUAUAUU